rnacentral:rRNA from 1 species
AACGGGUGAGUAACACGUGGGUAACCUACCUUUAAGUGGGGGACAACCCUUCUAACGAGGGGCUAAUACCGCAUAAUGCAGCGGCUCCGCAUGGAGAUGUUGUUAAAGGGGCGGCUUCGGCCGUCCUGCUUAAAGAUGGGCCCGCGGUCCAUUAGCUUGUUGGUGAGGUAAAAGCUCACCAAGGCAACGAUGGAUAGCCGGCCUGAGAGGGUGAUCGGCCACACUGGAACUGAGAUAAGGUCCAGUCCCCUACGGGGGCCAGCAGUCUAGAAAUUUGCACAAUGGGGGAAACCCUGAUGCAGCGACGCCACGUGGAGGAUGAAGCCUCUAGGGGUGUAAACUCUUGUCAGAAGGGAAGAAACCGGUGAAUAACUUUCACCAACUGACGGUACCUUCAAAGGAAGCCCCGGCUAACUUCGUGCCAGCAGCCGCGGUAAUACGAAGGGGGCAAGCGUUGUUCGGAUUUACUGGGCGUAAAGGGCGCGCAGGCGGACCGAUAAGUCGUCUGUGAAAUCUGUCGGCUCAACCAGCAGCCUGCAAUCGAAACUAUCGGUCUUGAGUAUGGG